rnacentral:misc_RNA from 1 species
GGGAACAGCAGCAACAGCGGCGGCGGUCGCUGCGGCUCGAGCCCUUGUGUUCUCAGCCCGCGGUUAGCUACCGGCACGGAGGUGUAGCGGCGGUUGCUGCGGCUCCUGCAGUGCCCCAGCAGCCAAGAUGUCGUCGUCGGAGACCCAGGCGACGAACCGAACGUGGGAACUGAGCCUGUACGAGAUGAACCGGACGCCUCAGGACGUCAUCACGGACAGCACCGAGAUCGCCGUGUCGCCGCGCAGCCUCCACAGCGAGCUCAUGUGUCCCAUCUGCCUGGACAUGCUGAAGAACACCAUGACCACCAAGGAGUGCUUGCACCGUUUCUGUCAAGAGUGCAUCAUCACGGCGCUGCGCAGCGGCAACAAGGAGUGCCCGACCUGCCGCAAGAAGCUGGUGUCCAAACGCUCGCUGCGGGCGGACCCCAACUUCGACAUGCUCAUCGCCAAAAUCUACCCGAGCCGGGACGAGUAUGAGGCACACCAGGAACGCGUGCUAGCCAAGCUGAACCGGCAGCACUCGCAGGCUCUGGCACACAGCAUCGAGGAAGGCAUGCGCAUGCAGGCUCUCAACCGCAACCAACGCGUUCGCAAGCACGGUGGAGACGAGAACAAUGGCAGCAGCGGGCCGGCGACCCCGGCUGCUACCGCGUGCGUGUCGGUGCCGUCUUCUGGCGCAACGUCGAACAGCGGCGGCAGCCACCAGGUCGCAAGCACAGCCACACCGACCAUGCCCACCUCCUUCUCUGGGGCGGCUGCCCCUACUGCCAGCAGUACGGUGCAGCAGCAGCAGCUCCAGCAACCACAGCCUCAGCAACAGCAGCAACAACAACCACAGCAGCAACAGCAACAACAACAGCAGCAACAACAACAGCAGCAGCAACAACAGCAGCAGUUACAGCUGCAGCAACAGCCACCACCACGUCAGACGCCGACCCCCGGCAGCUGCAGCGACGCCACCAACCAGAGCAGCACUAGCAGCGUGGGCUCCUCACAGCCACGCAAGAAGCCCAAGACCCAACAGCGAGCACUUGCGAAAGUGCCCGCAAGUACGAGCCGUGUGAGUUUGCCCCUCAGGCCGCGACCUGCUCCAACGACACGGAGUCCGCUGGAGGGGAGACCGAGGAGACAGACGCCGAGGAUGGGGACGCCGCCCUCAACAGCGAGAUUGAGCUUGUGUUCAAGCCUCAGCCGCAGAUGAUGCUGGAGGACUCCAGCGCCCAGGUCCGCUACAUCAAGACCACGGCGAAUGCGACUGUGGACCACCUCUCGAAGUACCUGGCGAUGCGCCUGGCCCUGGACAAGUUCGAGCAGGACGCCUCAGCUCCCCGCAGUGUAGCACCGUUUACCAUUUACAUCGCCGUCACACCCGGCCAGUUCACUCCUCUGCCGGGCAACAUGACGCUCGACCAGGUGAACGAAAAGUACUGGAAGGUCAACAAGCCCCUCGAGAUGUACUACGCACACCGCAAGGCUUGAAGCAGUGGAUUGGUAGUCACGUGGCAAGGCUACUGCUGUGUUUGUGCGUGCAGUUGAUGUGUGCGCACCUGUGCAAGUGCGCGUCUUCGCCAAGCCACAAUGUGGCACGGCUCCGUUCGACGUCAGCUCCGGCGCAUAUCGUCACUGCAGCAAGUGGUGAAGUUCACCGUGUAGAGAAUCUUCUGUCACCCAAGAGCUGUGCAGCAUCUAUUUUACAUCGACCACCAUCGUGUAGGAGUUUUUCAGUAUUGCCCAGGUGCAAAAGUUGUUCUAUAAUACAAUGCCAUUCCAUUCAAAAGAAUCGGAGGUAAUUGCGGUCCUAGAUUGUUGCUCUUCAUACGUCAAGCUAUUGUAAAUCCGUUUUGAGAGUUCUAUUUUCGUUGUAUAGGAAUGGAUUGUAUAAUACAGAGGUUUUUAAUGGAGAAAUGCUUUUCAUCACAACACAAGCACUUGUCCUGUGCUUGCUAAUGAUGCAGUACAAGCAUUUUAAUGCGGUACCGAGCAUAAGCUGGGCUGCUGAGCAACCAUAGUUGGCAGUAAUGACAGAAAGAAUCUAGGUUACCUGUGCAUUAGUUUAAUCGUAUGCUUUUCUUUGCCUAUUUGUGUUGUUAAACUUCGAAGUAUUUAACGUGACAGAUUUAGUCCAGUCUGGAAGCUUCAUCUGCAUGACCAAAGUCACGCCUAGGGCCAAGCCAAUUCGCAGCCAGCCGAAUCACCGUCCAACAAAUUUCGCUAUGUCAUGCUCGGCAUUCUCAUUGUGGCAUUAUUUAGACAAACGUUUAGGCCUAUGGGCAAUACUGUUGAAAACUCUUACACUCUGUUUCUCGUGUCUGUGUAAAGUGUUCGACGUUGACUUCGGGAGCCCGUUAGGUGCAAAGUACGAUGGUGACGGCACAGGACAAAGCGAGGAAGGAAGCGAGCCGACAUGUGAUUGGUAGGAUCUGACGAUUGGCAGACUGCAGUCCUUUGAGGCCAUUGUCCUCGAAGGUAGCCAAGACUGAACACAUAUGGACAUAAGGCAUUUUGUGCUGCAACUUGCGUAAGUGUGAUUCACGAUUUGUUUUUUCUUCAAUGGAACAUUCAGUCGUGUUUAACAAUGAACUUGUCGCAUGUUGUACAUAUAUUUUGAUGCCCAAAAUACAGCGCUUGAAGCAUGUC